rnacentral:rRNA from 1 species
UGGGGAAUAUUGCACAAUGGGGGAAACCCUGAUGCAGCGACGCCGCGUGAGUGAAGAAGUAUUUCGGUAUGUAAAGCUCUAUCAGCAGGGAAGAAAAUGACGGUACCUGAUUAAGAAGCCCCGGCUAACUACGUGCCAGCAGCCGCGGUAAUACGUAGGGGGCAAGCGUUAUCCGGAUUUACUGGGUGUAAAGGGAGCGUAGACGGUGAUGCAAGUCAGAAGUGAAAGCCCGGGGCUCAACUCCGGGACUGCUUUUGAAACUGUGUGACUGGAGUGCAGGAGAGGUAAGCGGAAUUCCUGGUG